AAUCUAUCAAAGUUUUGAAAUCAAUACGGGUGGUUGUGAUUGUUCAGGCAGGCGGCUGCGUCGUUCAGGCACCUGGAACAACAAAGGCCACAGUUCAUUGCAGGCUAUGCAGAUUUGGUACGCAGUGCCAUUUUCUCAUUCUGCUAACGGUAUUUAGACAAGACCACAACUGUCACUGCUUUGUUAUGAAUAUCCUGUCCCCCCCCCCCCCCCCUUUUUUUUUCUUCUUCUUCCAAGGAAAGUUGGACUGUAUGAAAUGCAAACUGUGAUACCACUCUACAACUAUGCUUGUUCAUUUCAUAAAAAAACUAUGCUUCUUCAGGUGA